GGGGAUGUAGCUCAGUGGUAGAGUGCUUGCUUGCCUAGCAUGUCUGAGGUCCUAGGUUCCAUCCCCU
rnacentral:tRNA from 1 species